rnacentral:rRNA from 1 species
GAUAAACGCUAGCUACAGGCUUAACACAUGCAAGUCGAGGGGCAGCAUGAACAAAGCUUGCUUUGUUUGAUGGCGACCGGCGCACGGGUGCGUAACACGUAUCCAAUCUGCCCGCGGCUCGGGGAUAGCCCAUCGAAAGAUGGAUUAAUACCCGAUGGCGUGGUCACCCCGCAUGGGGUUUCCACUAAAGGUUUUCCGGCCGCGGAUGAGGAUGCGUAUGAUUAGGUAGUAGGCGGGGUAACGGCCCACCUAGCCUUCGAUCAUUAGGGGUUCUGAGAGGAAGGUCCCCCACACUGGAACUGAGACACGGUCCAGACUCCUACGGGAGGCAGCAGUGAGGAAUAUUGGUCAAUGGGCGAGAGCCUGAACCAGCCAAGUAGCGUGAAGGAAGACUGCCCUAUGGGUUGUAAACUUCUUUUGUUCAGGAAUAAAGUGCAGUAUGUAUACUGUUUUGUAUGUACCGUUCGAAUAAGCAUCGGCUAAUUCCGUGCCAGCCGCCGCCGUAAUAC